rnacentral:tRNA from 1 species
GGUAGGGUGGCCGAGUUAGGCGGUGGAUUGUAGCUCCACAGACAGAGGUUUAAGCCCUCUUCUUACCA